rnacentral:rRNA from 1 species
AGAGUUUGAUCAUGGCUCAGAUUGAACGCUGGCGGCAUGCCUUACACAUGCAAGUCGAACGGCAGCAUGAUCUAGCUUGCUAGAUUGAUGGCGAGUGGCGAACGGGUGAGUAAUACAUCGGAACGUGCCCUGUAGUGGGGGAUAACUAGCCGAAAGAUUAGCUAAUACCGCAUACGACCUGAGGGUGAAAGUGGGGGACCGCAAGGCCUCAUGCUAUAGGAGCGGCCGAUGUCUGAUUAGCUAGUUGGUGAGGUAAAGGCUCACCAAGGCGACGAUCAGUAGCUGGUCUGAGAGGACGAUCAGCCACACUGGGACUGAGACACGGCCCAGACUCCUACGGGAGGCAGCAGUGGGGAACUUUGGACAAUGGGCGAAAGCCUGAUCCAGCAAUGCCGCGUGUGUGAAGAAGGCCUUCGGGUUGUAAAGCACUUUUGUCCGGAAAGAAAUGGCUCUGGUUAAUACCUGGGGUCGAUGACGGUACCGGAAGAAUAAGGACCGGCUAACUACGUGCCAGCAGCCGCGGUAAUACGUAGGGUCCAAGCGUUAAUCGGAAUUACUGGGCGUAAAGCGUGCGCAGGCGGUUGUGCAAGACCGAUGUGAAAUCCCCGAGCUUAACUUGGGAAUUGCAUUGGUGACUGCACGGCUAGAGUGUGUCAGAGGGGGGUAGAAUUCCACGUGUAGCAGUGAAAUGCGUAGAGAUGUGGAGGAAUACCGAUGGC